rnacentral:tRNA from 1 species
CUUUAGUGCAGUAGGCAGCACAUCAGUCUCAUAAACUGAAGGUCCUGAGUUCCCUACUCGAAAG